rnacentral:rRNA from 3 species
GGCCGCAAGGUUAAAACUCAAAUGAAUUGACGGGGGCCCGCACAAGCGGUGGAGCAUGUGGUUUAAUUCGAUGCAACGCGAAGAACCUUACCUGGUCUUGACAUCCACAGAACUUUCCAGAGAUGGACUGGUGCCUUCGGGAACUGUGAGACAGGUGCUGCAUGGCUGUCGUCAGCUCGUGUUGUGAAAUGUUGGGUUAAGUCCCGCAACGAGCGCAACCCUUAUCCUUUGUUGCCAGCGGU